CCUAGUACGAGAGGACCGGAGUGGACGCAUCACUGGUGUUCGGGUUGUCAUGCCAAUGGCACUGCCCGGUAGCUAAAUGCGGAAGAGAUAAGUGCUGAAAGCAUCUAAGCACGAAACUUGCCCCGAGAUGAGUUCUCCCUGAGACUUUAAGUCUCCUGAAGGAACGUUGAAGACGACGACGUUGAUAGGUCGGGUGUGUAAGCGCAGCGAUGCGUUGAGCUAACCGAUACUAAUGAACCGUGAGGCUUAACCUU
rnacentral:rRNA from 1 species